GCGGCUAUAGUCUAGCCUGGUAGGACACAGCCUUGCCAAGGCUGUAGCGCGGGUCCAAAUCCCGCUAGCCGCA
rnacentral:tRNA from 1 species